rnacentral:rRNA from 1 species
GGAGGCAGCAGUGGGGAAUUUUGGACAAUGGGCGAAAGCCUGAUCCAGCAAUACCGCGUGCAGGAAGAAGGCCCUCGGGUUGUAAACUGCUUUUGUACGGAACGAAACGGCGCGCUCUAAUAAAAUAAAAAUAAUGACGGUACCGUAAGAAUAAGCACCGGCUAACUACGUGCCAGCAGCCGCGGUAAUACGUAGGGUGCAAGCGUUAAUCGGAAUUACUGGGCGUAAAGCGUGCGCAGGCGGUUUUGUAAGACAGGCGUGAAAUCCCCGGGCUUAACCUGGGAAUUGCGCUUGUGACUGCAAGGCUAGAGUACGGUAGAGGGGGGUAGAAUUCCGCGUGUAGCAGUGAAAUGCGUAGAUAUGCGGAGGAACACCGAUGGCGAAGGCAGCCCCCUGGACCUGUACUGACGCUCAUGCACGAAAGCGUGGGGAGCAAACAGGAUUAGAUACCCUGGUAGUCCACGCCC